UGCCUAAUUUUUCUCGUUUUCAUUUGUUUUUGCUCCUCCAAGCUUCCGGUUUGGUGUCCCUGGAAUAUUCCACACUCUUCUGCAGGUUUCCGUUCUUCUUGCCUCUUCCCUAAGCUUCGAGUUAGUGUGAGGAUUCAGUACAACCCCAUUUGUACAAAUUUUGUUGGAACAUAAGAAUUAUUUAUCGCCAGGAAAAGGAAUCAGCAUGGCAACACGGAGGUCUGCUCUCUCGGCCCUUAAGGCGUCACGUUCCCGCUUACUCUCUCAAUCUCGUUCAGUACACUCUCGUCUCUCAGAAAAUGGAAUACUUAGUAGCAGCAGUACACCGCCUAGCAAUGGGUUUGUUAUUGCAGGAAGAACGGCGACCACUUGUAAUGUUUGGAGGAAUUAUGGCGUGUUUGCCAAAAGUUUCUUACGCUCUUACUCUACUGCGGCUGCUAGCUCCGAACAGAUCAAUAAUUUGGAUUACACUGAGAUGGCUCUUGAGGGUAUUGUUGGUGCUGUAGAAGCGGCACGGACCGGCAAGCAACAAGUAGUUGAGACUGAGCACUUAAUGAAAGCUCUUUUGGAGCAGAAGGAUGGGUUGGCUCGAAGGAUAUUCACAAAGGCUGGGUUGGACAACACGUCAGUUCUGCAAGAAACAGAUAAUUUUAUAUCUCAGCAGCCAAAGGUUGUAGGUGAUACUAGUGGCCCAAUAUUGGGGUCACAUCUUAGUUCCCUCCUGGAGAAUACAAAGAAGCAUAAGAAGGAAAUGGGAGAUUCCUUUGUGUCUGUUGAGCAUAUGUUGUUAGCUUUUCUUUCAGAUAAAAGAUUUGGUCAAAAGUUAUUUAGGGAUCUCCAGCUAACAGAGAAGGCUUUGAAGGAUGCUGUCAAUGCUGUUCGGGGAAGUCAGAGAGUAACUGAUCCGAACCCAGAGGGAAAAUAUGAGGCAUUAGAUAAAUAUGGAAAUGACUUAACUGAACUUGCAAGACGUGGUAAACUUGACCCGGUGAUAGGAAGAGAUGACGAAAUACGGCGCUGCAUCCAAAUAUUAAGUCGGAGGACAAAGAACAAUCCUGUAAUUAUUGGUGAGCCUGGAGUGGGAAAAACUGCAAUUGCAGAAGGGUUAGCUCAAAGGAUAGUACGUGGAGAUGUUCCUGAACCUUUGAUGAAUCGGAAGUUGAUAUCUCUUGAUAUGGGUGCCUUGCUUGCCGGUGCAAAGUACCGUGGAGAUUUUGAGGAAAGGUUGAAAGCUGUUUUAAAGGAAGUCUCAGCAUCCAAUGGGCAGAUUAUACUGUUUAUUGAUGAGAUACACACUGUAGUUGGUGCAGGAGCUACUAGCGGGGCCAUGGAUGCAGGGAAUUUGUUGAAACCCAUGCUUGGUCGGGGUGAACUUAGAUGUAUUGGAGCAACCACUUUGAAUGAAUAUAGGAAGUACAUUGAGAAGGACCCUGCUCUAGAACGCAGAUUUCAACAAGUAUAUUGUGGCCAACCAUCUGUGGAAGAUGCAAUCUCUAUCCUUCGUGGAUUGCGUGAACGAUAUGAGCUGCAUCAUGGUGUUAAAAUAUCAGACAGUGCUCUUGUGUCAGCUGCAGUUCUUGCAGAUCGAUAUAUCACUGAGCGAUUUUUGCCGGACAAAGCAAUUGACCUUGUUGAUGAAGCUGCUGCAAAACUAAAGAUGGAAAUUACUUCAAAGCCAACUGAAUUGGAUGAGAUAGAUAGGACUGUGAUGAAGUUGGAAAUGGAGAAACUUUCUCUGAAAAAUGACACGGAUAAAGCGUCUAAAGAAAGACUGAACAAGCUAGAAAGUGAUUUGAAGUCCCUUAAGCAAAAGCAGAGAGAGUUAAAUGAACAGUGGGAACGCGAGAAAGCUCUGAUGACACGCAUACGUUCUAUAAAGGAGGAGAUUGAUAGGGUGAACUUAGAGAUGGAAGCUGCUGAACGUGACUAUGACUUGAAUCGUGCUGCUGAACUCAAGUAUGGGACCCUAAUCUCCCUUCAACGCCAGCUAGAAGAAGCAGAGAAUAACCUGGCUGACUACCGGAAGUCUGGGAGUUCAUUGCUUCGCGAAGAAGUAACAGAUCUUGAUAUUGCUGAAAUUGUUAGCAAGUGGACGGGUAUACCAUUAUCAAAUCUUCAGCAGUCUGAGAGAGACAAGCUUGUCUUUUUAGAAAAUGAACUUCACAAAAGAGUUGUUGGUCAGGAUAUGGCAGUAAAAUCUGUUGCUGAUGCAAUCAGGCGAUCCCGAGCAGGCCUAUCCGAUCCAAAUCGGCCCAUUGCAAGCUUCAUGUUCAUGGGCCCCACUGGAGUUGGCAAAACUGAACUUGGAAAGGCUCUUGCUGCUUACCUUUUCUAUACUGAAAAUGCCCUGGUGCGUAUUGACAUGAGUGAAUACAUGGAAAAACAUGCAGUCUCACGGUUGGUUGGUGCACCACCUGGUUAUGUUGGAUAUGAAGAGGGUGGGCAACUCACUGAAGUGGUCCGUCGGAGGCCUUACUCUGUGAUCCUCUUUGAUGAAAUUGAGAAAGCACAUCAUGAUGUUUUUAACAUUCUCUUACAAUUGUUGGACGAUGGAAGACUAACUGAUUCUCAAGGGAGGACUGUUAGUUUCACAAACACUGUUGUAAUAAUGACAUCAAACAUUGGAUCGCAUUACAUUCUUGAGACUCUGCGGAACACUCAAGAUAACCAGGAGGCCGUUUAUGAUUUGAUGAAAAAGCAGGUUAUUGAAUUGGCAAGACAGACUUUCCGGCCCGAGUUCAUGAAUCGGAUUGAUGAAUACAUUGUUUUCCAGCCUCUGGACCUUAAACAAGUUAGCAGAAUUGUUGAACUCCAGAUGAGAAGGGUAAAAGAUAGACUCAAACAGAAGAAAAUUGAUCUUCAUUACACGCAGGAAGUGAUUAGUCUGUUGGCGAAUAUGGGGUUUGACCCUAACUAUGGAGCUCGGCCUGUUAAGCGAGUGAUUCAGCAGAUGGUUGAGAACGAAGUAGCAAUGGGAGUUCUAAGAGGAGAUUUCACGGAGGAAGACAUGAUUAUCGUUGAUGUUGAUGACUCACAUCAGGCUAAGGACCUUCCUUCCCAGAAGAGACUGUUGAUUAGAAGAAUUGGGAAUGGUUCCAACAUGGAUGCUUUGGUUGCCAACGAUUGACAUUUCAACCUAGUAGUGUGAGUAAUGGCCAAUUUCUACCACCUGAGCCGCAAGAACUUGAGACGAUUCCACUGCCGCGACCUGGUAUGGGCGAUACGGUGCAUUCCCAAUAUUUUAUUCAGGUGUUUAGACUCAGGCUCGCUGCUAGAUGUUUCAGUAGCUCCUACCUCCUACAGCUGGUGAAUCCUCCUAUCAUUCAAGGGACCAUUAAUUUUAGUUCAGUUUCAGUUUAACAAAGAGUCUUCAGUUUAAAUAGUGGUACCUUGGUAGCUAGGCAUUGUCCCAGGAAACUCGAGGCUUUAUAGAUAGACACUUAGUCAAAUGGUUCUAUUCAGUUUUCAAAUAUUGUCUCAAUUAAUGAAGUUUAUUUUAUUUUGCUAUUUUACAAAA